AGGUUGUGUUGUGGACACUUCCUCAAUAGCUUCUUGAAGCGCUCCCAAGCCUCAUAAAGAUUCUCAUCAGCUGCUUGGGCAAAUGUCAUUAUGCCAUUCUUCAACUU